rnacentral:rRNA from 1 species
UGGCUCAGAGCGAACGCUGGCGGCAGGCCUAACACAUGCAAGUCGAACGGAUCCUUCGGGAUUAGUGGCGGACGGGUGAGUAACACGUGGGAACGUGCCCUUUGGUUCGGAACAACUCAGGGAAACUUGAGCUAAUACCGGAUAAGCCUUUCGAGGGAAAGAUUUAUCGCCAUUGGAGCGGCCCGCGUAGGAUUAGCUAGUUGGUGGGGUAAAGGCCCACCAAGGCUACGAUCCUUAGCUGGUCUGAGAGGAUGAUCAGCCACAUUGGGACUGAGACACGGCCCAAACUCCUACGGGAGGCAGCAGUGGGGAAUCUUGCGCAAUGGGCGAAAGCCUGACGCAGCCAUGCCGCGUGAAUGAUGAAGGUCUUAGGAUUGUAAAAUUCUUUCACCGGGGACGAUAAUGACGGUACCCGGAGAAGAAGCCCCGGCUAANUCGUGC